GUACUGGUGUGAUGUGACUGUAAAUGGACUCGACACUGUGAGAGUUCCUAUGUCCGUAGUGCUCUUUCAGAAGCCCAAGACGAAAAGAUACAAGCACUGGUUAGCCCAGCAAGCUGCCAAGAGCGUGGCCCCCACCAACCCCCAGGCUGUCUGAGUCAAAAGAGCCGUGGAGCAGCCUGGCCAGCACUUGGAGCUACCCCAGCUCUGAGCAGAUGUGGAUCAUUGAGAACAUGUGGACUCAGCAGACUGAGCUGCACAUACGGGGCAGGUUCGCUGUGGUUGUCAUCUCCUUCAGUGGUCAUCGUAGCCAGCUGUGUUGCCUCGCUCUGCAGGCAGUAGAUGUAAUAAGCUGAAUAUCAGUGGCCAAAACAGUCUUCUUAGCCGUUCCAUCUUUGGGAGAGUUGGUGGGAACAGGUGCAGGGGCCUAGCCACUAUUCUGACAGUUGUUUUAUUCUCAGCCAGACUGUGUCUUGUGCAGAAAUGAAGAGCUGCUUAACUGGGCUUCAGUUGACGGGGCAGGAUAUCCAAGUAAGGUGUCUUGAGCCAUGGAGGGCUGUACAAAGGAGGAAAAUAUAGCCAUUCUCUGUGUCCUACAGCUGCCAUGAGCAGACUGCUCUGAACAUAGCCAAUUACAUCUGCUCUUAGAGCUUUCUCUCUCCAUGUGGUUGAUAGAGUGGAUUCCACUAAGAUCUGUAUAAGGCCUAAGGAUGAUUGACAGAGAAAGUGAAGCUGGGAUUAAAGAUGCUUAAAAAGAAAAAGAACUGGGCUGGCAAGAUGGCUCAGCAGGUAAGAGCUCUGACUGCUCUUCCAAAGGUACUGAGUUCAAUUCCCAGCAACCACAUGGUGGCUCACAACCAUCCUUAACAAGAUCUGGUGCCCUCUUCUGGAGUGUCUGAAGACAGCUACAGUGUACUUACAUAUAAUAAAUAAAUAAAUCUUUUU
rnacentral:lncRNA from 1 species